GACGAACGCUGGCGGCGUGCUUAACACAUGCAAGUCGAACGGAAAGGCCCUGCUUUUGUUGGGUGCUCGAGUGGCGAACGGGUGAGUAACACGUGAGUAACCUGCCCUUGACUUUGGGAUAACUUCAGGAAACUGGGGCUAAUACCGGAUAAGAGCUCCUGCUGCAUGGUGGGGGUUGGAAAGUUUCGGCGGUUGGGGAUGGACUCGCGGCUUAUCAGCUUGUUGGUGGGGUAGUGGAUUACCAAGGCUUUGACGGGUAGCCGGCCUGAGAGGGUGACCGGCCACAUGGGGACUGAGAUACGGGCCAGACUACUACGGGAGGCAGAAGUGGGGAAUAUUGCACAAUGGGCGGAAGCCGGAUGAAGCAACGCCGCGUGCGGGAUGAAGGCCUUCGGGGUGUAAACCGAUGUCGACUGUGACGAAGCGUGAGUGACGGUAAUGGGUAAAGAAGCACCGGCUAACUACGUG
rnacentral:rRNA from 1 species